rnacentral:lncRNA from 1 species
UGAUGUACAGGAAAUUUAUCUGCCUAUCACUUUGACUUGAUAGAUUUCCUUUGCUGUAAUCAAGAUGACUUCUGACAAGAUGGAGGAGCAGAAAAGCUGAUGAGUAGUCUUGAAGAAUUUGUGCAAUGGUCAAGUAUCCUCCUGUAGGUGGGUGAAGCACAGGCCAGAAGUCAGAAGCAACCCCGAAGACUUCCGGCUUUUCUUUUAAGAGCCUCAGAAAAGAGAUUAACUGGAGAAAGGCUUUAUCUCUGAUCCAGAUGUGAUACCGACUGAAGGGCUGGGAAGAAUGGUCUGUGCAUCUCUAGGAAGCUUACAUGUUUGUUCAAGUGGGAGCAACAAAGAGAAGUUCAAGGGCAAGCAAGAUGGGGAAUAUGAGUGGCCCACACUCAUGAAGGAAGGAGUCAAACCCAGGACCUGGGAGGUCUGUGGUGGAACUUACGUGGUUUAGAGGCG